AUGGACGUGUACAACUUCAACCUCGGCAUCGAGCAGUACACUGUGGGCUCGAUCAUCCUCUUCGACGUAGGAGACGGUGAGCCGAGCAGCUACAGUACAAUCCAGAUCGGCUGGGAGGUUUCACCCAAGAUGUACGGCGAUUCGCGCACCCGUUUAGCUGGCCUAUGGACGAAUGAUGGGUUACAAGAAACUGGUUGCCCCAAUGCCCAGUGCGAUUUUCGGCCGGCAGAGGGUGCACCCAUGACGCUCGGAGGUGUAAUUGAGACAGUUUCCCAACCCAAGGGACUCAAACAAACCAUCACUAUUAUAAUUUUUAAGGACGGCGUAAUGGGAGACUGGCUGGCGUAUUACGGGCUCAAUCAGGAUGACCCUGCAUUUAUUGGGUCUUUCCCCAAGUCGUUAUUUACCAGAGGGAUGGCGAACCAAGCGCCGUCUAUCCGUUUUGGUGGAUACGUGCAGACCCACACGACGAAUUUAGUUCCGAUGGGCAGUGGCUACCUUCCCAGGGUGAUGCGAUUGCGUCCGCGCUCAUGA
rnacentral:rRNA from 1 species